UCUUCACUUUCAAAAGUGACAAAGUCUUUCCAUAUGUAUGUAUGUGUGUCUAUUACACAUAUGGAAAGACUUUGCCACUCUUUAAAGUGAAGA
ensembl:miRNA